rnacentral:snRNA from 1 species
GGAUGUGAGGAUGAUCUGGCUGUGACAUCUGUCACCCCAUUGAUCACCAGGGUUGAUUUGGCUGACCUGGCUAGCUAGGCGGGUGUCCCCUUCCUCCCUCACCGCUCCAUGUGCUUCCCUCCCGAAGCUGUGCGCUCAGUCGAAGAGGAUGAACUUCCCUGAUAGAGGAGGACUGUUCUUCAGUCAAGGGUAUAUGAGUAGCUGCGCUCCCCUGCUAGAACCUCCAAACAAGCUCUCAAGGUCCAUUUGUAGGAGAACGUAGGGUAGUCAAGCUUCCAAGACUCCAGACACAUCCAAAUGAGGCGCUGCACGUGGCAGUCUGCCUAAG